CACCGGCAGCCCAAGUGGUGGCCAUUUUUAUUGGGCCUAAAGGGUACGUAGGCGGCUAUAUAAGUCAGGUGUGAAAUACCAGUGCUUAACACUGGAAUUGCAUUUGAAACUGUGUAGCUUGAGUGCAGGAGAGGAAAGUGGAAUUCCUAGUGUAGCGGUGAAAUGCGUAGAGAUUAGGAGGAGCACCAGUGGCGAAGGCGACUUUCUGGACUGUAACUGACGCUGAGGUACGAAAGCGUGGGUAGCGAACAGGAUUAGAUACCCUGGUGGUCCACGCCGUAAACGAUGGAUACUAGGUGUAGGGGGUAUCGACCCCCCCUGUGCCGGAGUUAACGCAAUAAGUAUCCCGCCUGGGGAGUACGGUCGCAAGACUGAA
rnacentral:rRNA from 1 species